AUGUCCCAUGGCGACCAGGGUCCCCAGCCUCCAUUGACUGUAAGAAAAUGAACCACAGGCCAAAGUUAACGCCGAUUUUCAAACGCCUUACCUUCACAGGAGACUCUCCUGAGUUCAUGCUACCCUGACACAUGGAAAGAAUGUUCUGGAAGAGGGGGAGCCAGAGACCAUGUGUUUGGCAGAUGAAGUUGAAGGCAGCAGAGCCGCUGUUGGCUGUGGCUCCAGCUCGGUCAUGAGGUUAGUCAGUAUGUUGCUUCUCUCACCCUAGCAUUUGGGACCUUUUCUGCAUAUAUUUUCACAAGAGGAAAGUGCGUUUGUUUGUCAUCUGCCCAGGCACGAUGACUACAGUCACGUCUAGCUGUACCUGACACGAGACAGAGAACUUGUUUUCUCUUGCCAUCAGCUGGAAGCUUUCCUAGCAAUCCCUGAUUGAAGUUCAGAGCCCCGCCAGUCCCCGGCUGGCUUUGUUCCCUUUAACCCACACCUGAAGUGAAUGCUGAACAGAAAGCGAUACACAAAUGAUUAUGACAGUGCUGGUAUCACUGACAUCUCUGGAGGGGACUGGUUAUUCUGAGUUGUGAUCAGUGUGUGUAGGUGCAGUGGGUGUGGGAGGUGUGGGUGUGAAGGGUGAGUGCUACUUUCUCGUCUUAUUUAUCUUCGUUGUGAUGAAUCAUUUUUAUGACUUGUACCUACUAUAUUGUCUCAGCAAAGUGAUUAAUUCAUACUGGCAACAAAAGCCAGGGAUUGGGUACCAUGAAACAACACAGUGCCCUAUUUCUUUUAUGGCCCUGACACUCAAACUGCUGUUUUGUCUUAGGUCUCUUAUGUCUGUAUACAAAAUGGGUAGAACUUUCAGGCCCAAUUAAGUCCAAUGCUCGCACCAAAGCCAUCCAUUUCUCUGGUGAGCAGAUUUUUCUUGACUGUAGGCCAUAAGGUCAAAUUCUAAAAGCAGUCAGCUUAGAGCUAUCACUGCUACCGAUUCCUCUCUUCUUUCCUCAAAGCACAGAAUCAUUCUCAAUAAGCUAUACCACGAUUAUUGCCUGUACUGUGAUCCAGGGGGGUAAUCAAGUUUAGUCAUAAUGGCACUUCUGGCUCUCUACAGCAGACAAGCCAUCAGUUAACCAGAUGUCGCAGCAAGAAACGGAAUGAAAAACAUCUGAUGGAGAUGGGGGUGGGGUUCAGGCACUAUGUACAGUUGAUCCCGUCGCUGAAGCAUGAUUAUGCAGUUUUAAGAACUUACGCCAACACCGCGGGCAGCAUUCUCCGUCAGGAACUGUGGCAUUGGAGCAGGGCAUGAUUGGGCAGGACACUUUUUUGCAGAUGGUAACUGAGUUCUGCAGGGCAAGAGUGAGGGAGAAAUGGUUUACUAGGCAUAUUGCAAGCCGAAGUUUACAUAUUGAAACAUUUCCAUUACAGGUUGACACGUGGUCGGGGCUGUUAAAUGCUCUAGUGGAAUGAUUUUAAUAGAAGGUCUGCCUCUGUCAUGUUGGCAGCCACCAGUACUGUAGAGACAGUUCUGGUGCUAGUUACUUGUCACUCCACCCCUCGGAGAGAGCUUUCUUAAUUGCCACUUAGUCACUUUCUCAUGCACAGGACAGCGUGAAGAGUUUCUCCAGCGGGAACCACUGAAUGUCAUGGGUCAGAUCUAUUACUCUGCAUCUAAAAGUCAAACUCAUGAAACUCAGCCAGGACUUGAAAAGUUUUAAAUCAUAUCUUUAUGGGGAAAAGAAGAUCAAUGAGCGUCGUAUUUUCUCAUGUAUAGAUCUGGCUUUAUAUUAUAUUGGACAAGAAUGGGAAUUUAGUAAAUUUGACUUGCAAAUCCAGCAA